GUGCCAGCAGCCGCGGUAAUACGGAGGAGGCAAGCGUUAUCCGGAAUUAUUGGGCGUAAAGCGUCCGUAGGUGGCUAGUCAAGUCUGCGGUCAAAGACUGGGGCUUAACCCUGGAAAGGCCGUGGAAACUGACAAGCUAGAGUGCAGUAGGGGUAGAGGGAAUUCCCGGUGUAGCGGUGAAAUGCGUAGAGCUCGGGAAGAACAUCGGUGGCGAAAGCGCUCUACUGGACUGCAACUGACACUCAGGGACGAAAGCUAGGGGAGCGAAUGGGAUUAGAAACCCGCGUAGUCC
rnacentral:rRNA from 1 species